UCAAGAAACUUCCACAAUGGGCGAAAGCCUGAUGGAGCGACGUCGCGUGAUGGACGAAGUGCUUCGGCACGUAAACAUCUUUUAUGUGGGAUGAAAUUAUUGACAGUACCACAUGAAUAAGGGGCUCCUAACUCUGUGCCAGCAGGAGCGGUAAUACAGAGGCCCCAAGCGUUAUCCGGAAUCACUGGGCGUAAAGGGUGUCGAGUCGGUUGUAUUAGUCGUUCGUAAAAUCUACGAGCUUAACUUGUAGGCGGCGAACGAAACGGUACGACUUGAGGUUUGGAGAGGUGCGUGGAACUCACGGUGUAGGGGUGAAAUCCGUUGAUAUCGUGGGGAACACCAAAGGCGAAGGCAGCGCACUGGCCAAAAUCUGACGCUCACACACGAAAGCUAGGGUAGCGAAGAGGAUUAGAUACCCCCGUAGUCCCUGAGCGGGCUGGCAAGGCGC
rnacentral:rRNA from 1 species